rnacentral:rRNA from 1 species
CUGAACGGUAACAGGAAGCAGCUUGCUGCUUCGCUGACGAGUGGCGGACGGGUGAGUAAUGUCUGGGAAACUGCCUGAUGGAGGGGGAUAACUACUGGAAACGGUAGCUAAUACCGCAUAACGUCUUCGGACCAAAGAGGGGGACCUUCGGGCCUCUUGCCAUCGGAUGUGCCCAGAUGGGAUUAGCUUGUUGGUGGGGUAACGGCUCACCAAGGCGACGAUCCCUAGCUGGUCUGAGAGGAUGACCAGCCACACUGGAACUGAGACACGGUCCAGACUCCUACGGGAGGCAGCAGUGGGGAAUAUUGCACAAUGGGCGCAAGCCUGAUGCAGCCAUGCCGCGUGUAUGAAGAAGGCCUUCGGGUUGUAAAGUACUUUCAGCGGGGAGGAAGGCGAUGAGGUUAAUAACCUUGUCCAUUGACGUUACCCGCAGAAGAAGCACCGGCUAACUCCGUGCCAGCAGCCGCGGUAAUACGGAGGGUGCAAGCGUUAAUCGGAAUUACUGGGCGUAAAGCGCACGCAGGCGGCGUGUCAAGUCGGAUGUGAAAUCCCCGGGCUCAACCCGGGAACUGCAUUCGAAACUGGCAUGCUAGAGUCUUGUAGAGGGGGGUAGAAUUCCAGGUGUAGCGGUGAAAUGCGUAGAGAUCUGGAGGAAUACCGGUGGCGAAGGCGGCCCCCUGGACAAAGACUGACGCUCAGGUGCG